UGCAGCCUUGUCAAAUUCAGUGUAUCCUCUUCAGUGGGUGCUACUGGCCAAAAUGGCUGCUACAGUGAAAGUGUAGUUGGUGGGCCCCAUUGUGCCCCAACAUGGUCUCUGGGCAUAAAUAUGAACUACACACAAUG